rnacentral:rRNA from 1 species
AGUGAGGAAUAUUGGUCAAUGGGCGCAAGCCUGAACCAGCCAUCCCGCGUGCAGGAAGACGGCGCUAUGCGUUGUAAACUGCUUUUCCAGGGGGAGAAAUUUCCGUACGUGUACGGAAUUGACGGUACCCUGGGAAUAAGCAUCGGCUAACUCCGUGCCAGCAGCCGCGGUAAUACGGAGGAUGCAAGCGUUAUCCGGAUUCAUUGGGUUUAAAGGGUGCGUAGGCGGACUAUUAAGUCAGUGGUGAAAUCCUGCAGCUUAACUGCAGAACUGCCAUUGAUACUGAUGGUCUUGAGUUUGGUUAAGGUAGGCGGAAUGUGUAAUGUAGCGGUGAAAUGCUUAGAUAUUACACAGAACACCAAUUGCGUAGGCAGCUUACUGAGCCGACACUGACGCUGAGGCACGAAAGCGUGGGGAUCGAACAGGAUUAGAUACCCUGGUAGUCCACGCCGUAAACGAUGAUUACUCGCUGUUGGCGAUACACUGUCAGCGGCUAAGCAAAAGCAAUAAGUAAUCCACCUGGGGAGUACGGCCGCAAGGUUGAAACUCAAAGGAAUUGACGGGGGCCCGCACAAGCGGAGGAACAUGUGGUUUAAUUCGAUGAUACGCGAGGAACCUUACCUGGGCUUAAAUGUAGAGUGCAUUUUCUAGAGAUAGAAAUUCCCUUCGGGGCUUUCUGCAAGGUGCUGCAUGGUUGUCGUCAGCUCGUGCCGUGAGGUGUCGGGUUAAGUCCCAUAACGAGCGCAACCCUUAUCGUUAGUUGCCAGCUGGUAAAGCAGGGGACUCUAGCGAAACUGCCACCGUAAGGUGAGAGGAAGGUGGGGAUGACGUCAAAUCAGCACGGCCCUUAUGUCCAGGGCUACACACGUGUUACAAUGGCCGGUACAGAGGGCAGCUACCUGGUGACAGGAUGCUAAUCUCGAAAACCGGUCUCAGUUCGGAUCGAAGUCUGCAACUCGACUUCGUGAAGCUGGAUUCGCUAGUAAUCGCGCAUCAGCCAUGGCGCGGUGAAUACGUUCCCGGGCCUUGUACACACCGCCCGUCAAGCCAUGGAAGCUGGGGGUGCCUGAAGUCCGUAACCGAAAGGAGCGGCCUAGGGUAAAACUAGUGACUGGGGCU